CACAUUAGUACAUUAUUCAACCUUGACACUCAGCACGCUGGAAAUGCCCGGGUAUGUCCAAAAUUGACACAACUUCACGCUAGACAACACAUCGAAAAUGCGCGUUCGUCUCGCGACACAGGUACUCAGCAAUUCGGUAGUUAACGGAUUACGUUUUUAUCAAUCCCACGACCCACAGGGGCCACUCAAAGGAUGCGAGGAAACAAUUGAGUUUUGUCGACGUAUGAACGAUCUUUUCGAUGCAUUGAACCGCAAAUCUCCAAAUCAAGGUCUUACUCCCGGAAAUGAGGAUUUUAGGAUGAUAGAGGACUCUCUUGAAUGGUUGAACGAGUGGGAGAUGGCUGUAAAAAAAGGUGACAUAGAAUCUGAUGAAUAUUUAACAACGGAAACGUCC